AAGAAAACGACCUUUUUAAUGGUUGUUUCUUAUACGGUUUUGCCUCACGCUCUCCUCGCCAAAUUUGAGCGUGGGGUUUUUU
rnacentral:ncRNA from 1 species